GACGAACGCUGGCGGCGUGCUUAACACAUGCAAGUCGAGCGGUAAGGCCCUUUCGGGGGUACACGAGCGGCGAACGGGUGAGUAACACGUGGGUGACCUGCCCUCAGCUCUGGGAUAAGCCUGGGAAACUGGGUCUAAUACUGGAUAUGACUCCACGGUGCAUGUCGUGGGGUGGAAAGCCUUGUGCGGCUGAGGAUGGGCCCGCGGCCUAUCAGCUUGUUGGUGGGGUGANGG
rnacentral:rRNA from 1 species